UGGAAGUGACUAGGUGUUUGGGGGCAUGU
rnacentral:piRNA from 2 species